UGAUGACCAUAUCACAUUGAAACACCACUUCUCAUACAAUCACCAAAGUUAAGCAAUAUUGAGCCUAAUCAGUACCUACAUGGAUGACCACUUGGGAAUACCAGGUGCUGUAAG